UAGAAAUAAACUUAGCUGGAAAUGUGAAUCAACUAGGAUUCGAACUUGGGUCUCGGGUACCAACCACCAUGCCCUUUUGCCACUUGCGUUAGGAACGGUCGGUAUGGUGAAAUACUAUUAAAUUCAUAUGUUCUCAUAAAGUGCAUACAUGCUACUCAUAUAAACUAGGCUAAAUUACAUAAAAUUUUCCUGUCAAAACUCGAUUUUUCACUUUCCCCCCCUGUCAUUUAAAAAUCUACACUUUACCCUCUUGUAAAAUGAAAAAUGUUCACUUCACCACCUGCCGUUGGUGAUUUGUUAAGGUUUCGUUUAUAAAAUAUUAUUAUAUAUUUUUUUAUACCAAAAAUGUCCUCAGUCUUCUCUUCUGUUGUCAAAAAUAGUGAGGGGCAAAAUGGUCAUUUUGUCAUUACAGUUUACACCGUACCCCCUGUGAUCAUUUUUCAUUCUACAAGGGGGCAAAAUGUAGGUUUUUAAAUGACAGGAGGAAAAAGUGAAAAAUCAGAUUUUGAUAGAGAUGUUUUAUAUAAUUUAGCCUAUAAACUAAGAUAAUUGGUGGGUUUAAGAGAUUAGCUCCUGAGUCCAGAAUAUAAAUGUGAAAGGGUGUAAAUUAAAGGUUGAAAAGUGUAAUAUAUUUUUGAAUAGUUGUUAAGAGUUGGAAGGUGUAGAUGAAGGUCAACAUAUGUGCAGGAAUGGUUUUGGACUAUGUGAGUUGCAUGAGAAAAUUAUAAGGACACAUGCAAAAAUAUAAUUUAUUUAAACAAAAGAAAAAUAAAAAAUUUAUUUUAAAAUUUAACAUAGAGGUGCAUGUUUCUUGACGUCACCUCUGCAUUAUCAUGUUAGAGACAGUUUAGAAGUAAUUUUUAAAGGCCACCUCUAAAUCUGUUUAAAAAGAAAGGGAAAACUUCAAAUACACCUUCUGUGGUUUUGCACAUUUUCAUUUUAGUAUCAUGUGCAUUAAAGUGUAUCAAGUUAGUACCCUGUGGUUUCGCACUUUCUCACUUUAUGUAGUAACCUAUGGUUUUAAGUGUAUCAAGUUAGUAUCCUAUGGUUUCGCACUUUCUCACUUUAUUACCUUGUGGUUUAAUAUUUCGUUAAAUUAUAUGCCUCGAAAUGGAUAAUAAAAAGAAAAAAUUGAAACCACAGAAUACUAAUUUAAUACAAAAAUGAAACCAUAGGGUACUAACUUGAUACACUUGAAACCACAAGGUACUAAAGUGAGAAAUUGCGAAACCACAGAAUAUUAACUUAUUUUAAACCACAGAAUAUUAAAGUGAGAAAGUACGAAACCACAUGAGGUAUUUGCAGUUACCCUCAAUAAGAAAAAAGCAAAAGACAAAAAAAAAUUCUAAACCCUACUAAACCC
rnacentral:lncRNA from 1 species